UUAAAAGAGAGAUCUAUUUCGUUGCC
rnacentral:piRNA from 1 species